CCAGAACCCAUCCCUUCGGUGCUCCUCAGAGAAAAUCGCACCCCCAGCAUCUGACUUCCUGGCGCACAUUCAGAAGAAUCCCGUGCUGGACUGCUCCAUUGCUGGCUGCCUGCGGUUCCGCUGUGACGUCCCCUCCUUCAGCGUCCAGGAGGAGCUGGAUUUCACCCUGAAGGGCAACCUCAGCUUUGGCUGGGUCCGCCAGAUAUUGCAGAAGAAGGUGUCGGUCGUGAGUGUGGCUGAAAUUACGUUCGACACAUCCGUGUACUCCCAGCUUCCAGGACAGGAGGCAUUUAUGAGAGCUCAGACGACAACGGUGCUGGAGAAGUACAAGGUCCACAACCCCACCCCCCUCAUCGUAGGCAGCUCCAUUGGGGGUCUGUUGCUGCUGGCACUCAUCACAGCGGUACUGUACAAAGUUGGCUUCUUCAAGCGUCAGUACAAGGAAAUGAUGGAGGAGGCAAAUGGACAAAUUGCCCCAGAAAACGGGACACAGACCCCCAGCCCGCCCAGCUGGAGUGCAAUGGCGUGAUCUCGGCUCACUGCAACCUCCGCCUCCCGGGUUCAAGUAAUUCUGCUGUCUCAGCCUCCUGAGUAGCUGGGACUACAGGCACACGCCACCUCGCCCGGCCCGAUCUUUCUAAAAUACAGUUCUGAAUAUGCUGCUCAUCCCCACCUGUCUUCAACAGCUCCCCAUUACCCUCAGGACAAUGUCUGAACUCUCCAGCUUCGCGUGAGAAGUCCCCUUCCAUCCCAGAGGGUGGGCUUCAGGGCGCACAGCAUGAGAGGCUCUGUGCCCCCAUCACCCUCGUUUCCAGUGAAUUAGUGUCAUGUCAGCAUCAGCUCAGGGCUUCAUCGUGGGGCUCUCAGUUCCGAUUUCCCAGGCUGAAUUGGGAGUGAGAUGCCUGCAUGCUGGGUUCUGCACAGCUGGCCUCCCGCGUUGGGCAACAUUGCUGGCUGGAAGGGAGGAGCGCCCUCUAGGGAGGGACAUGGCCCCGGUGCGGCUGCAGCUCACCCAGCCCCAGGGGCAGAAGAGACCCAACCACUUCUAUUUUUUGAGGCUAUGAAUAUAGUACCUGAAAAAAUGCCAAGACAUGAUUAUUUUUUUAAAAAGCGUACUUUAAAUGUUUGUGUUAAUAAAUUAAAACAUGCACAAAAAGAUGCAUCUACCGCUCUU
rnacentral:lncRNA from 1 species